rnacentral:sRNA from 1 species
UUUGGUAUUUUGAUACCACUUUAUUCUGGGUUCUUGUUGCAGAGUCAUAUGGCUCCUUUAAGACGUUCUCUAGUGAAAGCCAUUGGUCAGGAUGACAAAGCAGGUUUUAAAAUUGGGGAGCCACUCUGCCCCUGGAUCCAUGUCCCAGAACACUACUAAAUGACUAAAUCACUAGUUUAUAGGGCUUCACUUUGCUCCUAACAGUAUACCUCUUGGGAUGCUUUAGAAAAGCUUGGUGUUUCCUUUUGCAUGUACAAGGUCACCUUUGCCGCUAAUGUCUUCUUUUUCAACUAUAGCUUUUCUUCUGUAGUGAACAUAUGAGGGUGCUUUCCCUGCACCCCUCUGCACCGCCCCAUAGAGUCCAGGUUUUUAUGAUUUUGUGCUGCCUUGAGAUUACUUACGGGUUGCCGCCUUUGUGCUCUCUGAACAGUUCCUUAUUUCCCCUCCUUACAGUGCUGCCUUACUAAUCUUCCAACUGAAAAACAGAGAGCACCUGACACUGCAGAUUUUCAUGUAUUGAAUUCCUAUAUUAGUCACCAAAUAUAUGUGUCUGUUUUUAUCUCUCUUGUGUUUUCCUCUCUGAUUUUACUUUGGAGUUAGGAAUUUUUUUUUCCCACAAAUUAUCUCCCAAUGACCUACAUUCUUUGAUAGCAUUUGUAAGAGAUGUUACUUUGUAGGCUUAGUUGCAUAGUUUAAGAAACAUAGGAAGAUUUUGUUAAAGAAAAGAAAGAUGGUGAAAUAUAAGUUACACUAUCCCUCAUUGGCUCUUUCCUGAAGGGGAGGACUGGCCACAGCCUGGGUUUCUUAGAGGUUAAACUGUAUUCUUGGAAACAUGUUAUUCACACUUAAUUUUCUUUUCAUUUGUUUUGGUGGUGAAAUAUCUGCUUCAGAGUGAAAAGUUGAUGAAUUAUUUCAGAGAAUAGGGUAUUUUAAGGUGUUUCAGUUAUUUUUUUCAUCAGAAAUUUAAGGAAUAGUUAGUAAACAUAUUUCCAAAUAAAACAUAUUUCAUAUUACAUAAAGAAUAACUUAGUAAAUGUACUUAAAGUAAGGUGUUUAUGUUUCUUUGAAAUAAAAUGAAAACAGCAUUCUCAGGCCAGCAGAAAAACUGAAGCUAUUACUUGAUUUGGAAUCAAGUGGCCACAUGAUUUUUCUGAAUCACAAUAUGACACUGUGUUUAUUUACUCUUUCUUUUUAUCUUUGGGCAUUCCAGAGGGGUGUUUGAUGCUUCCCUCAAAAUGGCUGGCUUCUAUGGAUUGUACACCUGGCUGACUCAUACUAUAUUUGGCAUCAAUAUUGUCUUCAUACCAUCAGCGUUAGCAGCAAUCCUUGGAGCAGUGCCAUUCCUGGGGACAUACUGGGCAGCAGUACCUGCAGUUCUUGACCUGUGGCUGACACAAGGGUUAGGAUGCAAGGCCAUUUUACUGUUGAUUUUUCAUCUCUUGCCAACAUACUUUGUAGAUACUGCAAUCUACUCUGACAUAUCAGGAGGUGGCCAUCCUUACCUGACAGGCUUGGCAGUGGCCGGUGGAGCAUACUAUCUAGGCCUGGAAGGAGCAAUCAUCGGUCCUAUUCUUCUCUGCAUACUUGUGGUUGCUUCCAAUAUCUAUAGUGCCAUGCUAGUGAGUCCCACGAAUUCAGUUCCCACGCCAAACCAGACCCCAUGGCCUGCUCAGCCUCAGCGGACUUUCCAUGACAUUUCUGAAGAUCUGAAAUCCUCAGUAGGUUGACAUGGUUUCCUCUGCAGUGAUUUUUCUAGGAAGUUCAAAUUUGACAGUGAGUUCAGCUCAGCUGUGGCCUUCUGCCCUUUCAGCUGUGCCUAGCAAGCAGAACCCAGGAAAGAAGCAGAAACCUCCUGGCCUUACAUACAGAAUGCCUGGACAAGAGAGAAUUUGCUGCGGGCUGCUUUGUAUUUUAAAACACAGCUUGAGAGUUCAGAGUUGGUGGUUUGCUCACUUAACUGUUGUUAAGAUGGCUUGAAAAGUUUCAUUUUAUACACUGGUACCCUGGCUUGAAAUUUUUCCACUUUGGUUAUCUAUAUUACUAUAUUAUAUAUUUAUAAAGUUAUUUUAAGAACUCUAAACUACCUGCUAUUAAAAGAAUACAUGGUGUAAUUUUUUCCUGGUUUAAGAAAUCUAUUGUUAAACUUUUCUAAGACAGUCACUUUUCAAGGAAGAGGGCUUUCACUUUUGAGUGUGUAGUUGAGUGAGCAGGAAAAAUGAAUCUUCUACCCUUCUCCCACAAUGUAUUAUUAUACGCUCUUUAAGAAAUAAUAAAUCAUAAGUGUAAGGGUGGGGCGGCUUAUUUGAUGUUCAGUUUUAUAUUGUAACCCUGGGAGAUACAAAGACUGAAGCUCUUCCUCCUCUUCCUUUUCUCUUCACGCUCGUUUACACUAUUGCCAAAUUAUAAAACUUGGCUGACCACGUUGAAGUGAAAUACUUAUUAAGCUGCUAUGAAUGGUAACAGUAUGAUAAAAUUCAUGCUGUUAGUAGGUUUUCUCCUUCCAGGUGUUUGAAGUGAAAAAUCUCAGGUGUAGCAGUACUCUGAUUUGUUAAAUGUAUCUGUUUCAUUAUUUGGAACUCUGCCGAUAAGUUUUCAGCAGAAUUUUAUAUUUAUGUAGUAUUUUCCCAUCUCUUAGCACAGUGCCUUGCACAUGACUCUAAUUGAAUGCUUGUUGAAUUGAAUUGCAACUUUAAAAAUAUCUCAGAUAUCACAGUAACCAGCAUAGUGCUUUACAUUUUACACAGUCCUUUUGCACAUUCUAUUUCACAAGUACAUCACAUCAGCUUUCAUAUAGCUUUAUAUUAUUUUACAUCAGUUUUACACUGAUGGAGAAGCUAAGGUUCAGAAAAGUGACCAACUCAAAGUCGUAAAGUUUAGUAGGAUUUGCCCUCAGAUCUUUGAUUCCAUUGUCUGCAGAUUCUGCUGUAUUAGUGUUCCUUCUGAAUAUUGUAUGCAGUUUUCCCAGUGUUACGAGAUUGGUGUUGCUAUCCAUUUGUUGUGAAUGAAGACUUGUCCUAUAGUACAUGACAGGGCUGAGAGUGGACUGUAGUUCUUAGCUGAACCCUUUCUACUGUUUAAAACAAUCAUCAGGCCUAUCCUCUGCUCCCAGGGGAAUGUGGAAGAGAAAAGGGUUCUUGGCCAGGCUGUAGGUGGUGGCUCACAUCUGUAAUCCCAGCACUUCGGAAGGCCGAGGCGGGUGGAUUGCUUGAGCCCAGGGAUUUGAGAUCAGCCUAGGCAACAUGGCAAAACCCCAUCUCUAC